rnacentral:rRNA from 1 species
GAAAUAAGUAUAAAGAGUUGAGCCUGCCCGGUGAUAAAAUCAAUUCAACGGCCGCGGUACUCUGACCGUGCAAAGGUAGCAUAAUCAUUUGCCUCAUAAUUGGAGGCCAGCAUGAAUGGCUUGACAAGAGCAAAACUGUCUCUCUAAAAAUUCAAUAGAAUUUAGUUUUUGGGUGAAGAAACCCGGAUAAUAUUGAAAGACAAGAAGACCCUAUCGAGCUUAAAAAAAUUCUAUUAAAAAAUGUAUAUUAAACUAAUCAGUUUUAGUAGCAAAUUUUGGUUGGGGCGACUAAGGAACAAAAAAAACUUCCUUUAGAUACAAUUAAACUUAUUGGUUUUGAUCCAGUAAAACCUGAUUAAAAGAAUUAGUUACCGUAGGGAUAACAGCAUAAUCUUCUUUAAGAGCCCUUAUCGAAAAGAAGGUUUGUGACCUCGAUGUUGGACUAGGAUACCCCAAAGAUGCAGAAGUCUUUAAAAUGUUGGUCUGUUCGACCA